rnacentral:rRNA from 1 species
GCUGGAAUCGCUAGUAAUCGCAGAUCAGAAUGCUGCGGUGAAUACGUUCCCGGGUCUUGUACACACCGCCCGUCACACCAUGGGAGUCGGAAAUGCCCGAAGCCGGUGACCCAACCAAAAGGAGGGAGCCGUCGAAGGCAGGUCUGAUAACUGGGGUGAAGUCGUAACAAGGUAUC